rnacentral:tRNA from 1 species
GGGGGUACAGUUCAAGAGGUAGAACAUCUGGCUAGCAACCUGGAGAGUCUGAGUUCAAACCUUAGUACUACAA